rnacentral:rRNA from 1 species
AACAGGAUUAGAUACCCUGGUAGUCCACGCCCUAAACGAUGUCUACUAGUUGUCGGGUUUUAAUUAACUUGGUAACGCAGCUAACGCGUGAAGUAGACCGCCUGGGGAGUACGGUCGCAAGAUUAAAACUCAAAGGAAUUGACGGGGACCCGCACAAGCGGUGGAUGAUGUGGAUUAAUUCGAUGCAACGCGAAAAACCUUACCUACCCUUGACAUGUACGGAAGGCCGAAGAGAUUUGGCUGUGCUCGAAAGAGAACCGUAACACAGGUGCUGCAUGGCUGUCGUCAGCUCGUGUCGUGAGAUGUUGGGUUAAGUCCCGCAACGAGCGCAACCCUUGUCAUUAGUUGCUACGAAAGGGCACUCUAAUGAGACUGCCGGUGACAAACCGGAGGAAGGUGGGGAUGACGUCAAGUCCUCAUGGCCCUUAUGGGUAGGGCUUCACACGUCAUACAAUGGUACAUACAGAGCGCCGCCAACCCGCGAGGGGGAGCUAAUCGCAGAAAGUGUAUCGUAGUCCGGAUUGUAGUCUGCAACUCGACUGCAUGAAGUUGGAAUCGCUAGUAAUCGCGGAUCAGCAUGUCGCGGUGAAUACGUUCCCGGGUCUUGUACACACCGCCCGUCACACCAUGGGAGCGGGUUUUACCAGAAGUAGGUAGCUUAACCGCAAGGAGGGCGCUUACCACGGUAGGAUUCGUGACUGGGGUGAAGUCGUAACAAGGUAACCGUAAAU